rnacentral:rRNA from 2 species
AUGGUUAAGUUAGAAAGGGCGCACGGUGAAUGCCUUGGCACUAGGAGCCGAUGAAGGACGGGACUAACACCGAUAUGCUUCGGGGAGCUGUAAGUGAGCUUUGAUCCGGAGAUUUCCGAAUGGGGAAACCCACUGUUCGUAAUGGAACAGUAUCUUUAUCUGAAUACAUAGGAUAUUGAAGGCAGACCCGGGGAACUGAAACAUCUAAGUACCCGGAGGAAGAGAAAGCAAAUGCGAUUUCCUGAGUAGCGGCGAGCGAAACGGAAUUAGCCCAAACCAAGAGGCUUGCCUCUUGGGGUUGUAGGACACUCUAUACGGAGUUACAAAGGAACGAAGUAAAUGAAGCGACCUGGAAAGGUCCGUCGAAGAAGGUAACAACCCUGUAGUUGAAACUUCGUUCCCUCUUGAGUGGAUCCUGAGUACGGCGGAACACGUGAAAUUCCGUCGGAAGCUGGGAGGACCAUCUCCCAAGGCUAAAUACUACCUAGUGACCGAUAGUGAACCAGUACCGUGAGGGAAAGGUGAAAAGCACCCCGGAAGGGGAGUGAAAGAGAUCCUGAAACCGUGUGCCUACAAGUAGUCAGAGCCCGUUAACGGGUGAUGGCGUGCCUUUUGUAGAAUGAACCGGCGAGUUACGAUCCCAUGCAAGGUUAAGCUGAUAAGGCGGAGCCGUAGCGAAAGCGAGUCUGAAUAGGGCGUUUAGUAUGUGGUUGUAGACCCGAAACCAGGUGAUCUACCCAUGUCCAGGGUGAAGUUCAGGUAACACUGAAUGGAGGCCCGAACCCACGCACGUUGAAAAGUGCGGGGAUGAGGUGUGGGUAGCGGAGAAAUUCCAAUCGAACCUGGAGAUAGCUGGUUCUCUCCGAAAUAGCUUUAGGGCUAGCCUCAUGUUGUGAGAGUCUUGGAGGUAGAGCACUGAUUGGACUAGGGGCCCCCAACGGGUUACCGAAUUCAGUCAAACUCCGAAUGCCAAAGACUUAUCCAUGGGAGUCAGACUGCGAGUGAUAAGAUCCGUAGUCAAAAGGGAAACAGCCCAGACCACCAGCUAAGGUCCCCAAGUAUACGUUAAGUGGAAAAGGAUGUGGAGUUGCUUAGACAACCAGGAUGUUGGCUUAGAAGCAGCCACCAUUUAAAGAGUGCGUAAUAGCUCACUGGUCGAGUGACUCUGCGCCGAAAAUGUACCGGGGCUAAACGUAUCACCGAAGCUGUGGAUUGACAUCUUAGAUGUCAGUGGUAGGAGAGCGUUCUAAGUGCUGUGAAGUCAGACCGUAAGGACUGGUGGAGCGCUUAGAAGUGAGAAUGCCGGUAUGAGUAGCGAAAGACAAGUGAGAAUCUUGUCCACCGAAUGCCUAAGGUUUCCUGAGGAAGGCUCGUCCGCUCAGGGUUAGUCGGGACCUAAGCCGAGGCUGAAAAGCGUAGGCGAUGGCCAACAGGUUGAUAUUCCUGUACCACCUCCCCGCCGUUUGAGUAAUGGGGGGACGCAGUAGGAUAGGGUAAGCGCGCUGCUGGAUAUGCGCGUUCAAGCAGUUAGGCUGAUGAGUAGGCAAAUCCGCUCAUCAUAAAGGCUGAGCUGUGAUGACGAGGGAAUUAUAGUACCGAAGUUCCUGAUUCCACACUGCCAAGAAAAGCCUCUAGCGAGGCGGGAGGUGCCCGUACCGCAAACCGACACAGGUAGGCGAGGAGAGAAUCCUAAGGUGAUCGAGAGAACUCUCGUUAAGGAACUCGGCAAAAUGACCCCGUAACUUCGGGAGAAGGGGUGCUCUGGUAGGGUGUAUAGCCCGAGAGAGCCGCAGUGAAUAGGCCCAGGCGACUGUUUAGCAAAAACACAGGUCUCUGCGAAGCCGCAAGGCGAAGUAUAGGGGCUGACGCCUGCCCGGUGCUGGAAGGUUAAGAGGAGGGGUUAUCCUUUGGGAGAAGCUCUGAAUCGAAGCCCCAGUAAACGGCGGCCGUAACUAUAACGGUCCUAAGGUAGCGAAAUUCCUUGUCGGGUAAGUUCCGACCCGCACGAAAGGCGUAACGAUCUGGGCACUGUCUCAACGAGAGACUCGGUGAAAUUAUAGUACCUGUGAAGAUGCAGGUUACCCGCGACAGGACGGAAAGACCCCGUGGAGCUUUACUGUAGCCUGAUAUUGAAUUUUGGUACAGCUUGUACAGGAUAGGUAGGAGCCUGAGAAGCCGGAGCGCUAGCUUCGGUGGAGGCGUCGGUGGGAUACUACCCUGGCUGUAUUGAAAUUCUAACCCGCGGCCCUGAUCGGGCCGGGAGACAGUGUCAGGUGGGCAGUUUGACUGGGGCGGUCGCCUCCUAAAAUGUAACGGAGGCGCCCAAAGGUUCCCUCAGAAUGGUUGGAAAUCAUUCGUAGAGUGUAAAGGCACAAGGGAGCUUGACUGCGAGACCUACAAGUCGAGCAGGGACGAAAGUCGGGCUUAGUGAUCCGGUGGUUCCGCAUGGAAGGGCCAUCGCUCAACGGAUAAAAGCUACCCCGGGGAUAACAGGCUUAUCUCCCCCAAGAGUCCACAUCGACGGGGAGGUUUGGCACCUCGAUGUCGGCUCAUCGCAUCCUGGGGCUGUAGUCGGUCCCAAGGGUUGGGCUGUUCGCCCAUUAAAGCGGUACGCGAGCUGGGUUCAGAACGUCGUGAGACAGUUCGGUCCCUAUCCGUCGUGGGCGUAGGAAAUUUGAGAGGAGCUGUCCUUAGUACGAGAGGACCGGGAUGGACACACCGCUGGUGUACCAGUUGUCUUGCCAAAGGCAUCGCUGGGUAGCUAUGUGUGGACGGGAUAAGUGCUGAAAGCAUCUAAGCAUGAAGCCCCCCUCAAGAUGAGAUUUCCCAUAGCGCAAGCUAGUAAGAUCCCUGAAAGAUGAUCAGGUUGAUAGGUCAGAGGUGGAAGCGUGGCGACAUGUGUAGCUGACUGAUACUAAUCGAUCGAGGACUUAACCAA